rnacentral:rRNA from 1 species
AUUGAACGCUGGCGGCAGGCCUAACACAUGCAAGUCGAACGGUAACAGGAAGCAGCUUGCUGCUUUGCUGACGAGUGGCGGACGGGUGAGUAAUGUCUGGGAAACUGCCCGAUGGAGGGGGAUAACUACUGGAAACGGUAGCUAAUACCGCAUAACGUCGCAAGACCAAAGAGGGGGACCUUAGGGCCUCUUGCCAUCGGAUGUGCCCAGAUGGGAUUAGCUAGUAGGUGGGGUCACGGCUCACCUAGGCGACGAUCCCUAGCUGGUCUGAGAGGAUGACCAGCCACACUGGAACUGAGACACGGUCCAGACUCCUACGGGAGGCAGCAGUGGGGAAUAUUGCACAAUGGGCGCAAGCCUGAUGCAGCCAUGCCGCGUGUAUGAAGAAGGCCUUCGGGUUGUAAAGUACUUUCAGCGGGGAGGAAGGGAGUAAAGUUAAUACCUUUGCUCAUUGACGUUACCCGCAGAAGAAGCACCGGCUAACUCCGUG